AUUUUCAUAAUUUCAAGGUAAAAUUCUGAUGUGUGAUUUUCUAGCUUUGCAGAUGUGGAAAUCCAAUGCACUGAUUUCUUAUACACAGAUGCUUUUGGUGUUUUUUGUUGUAAAAUAAAACAAGGCAUUUAUCACUGUUGGAAAUUAUUACAGGUAUUAUUUGUAACACUUUCUAACAUUGUAUGGACAAAGCAAUAAAUCAGUUAAUGGAUAAAAUCAUUUGUAUUACAGAUGCUAUCAACAGCAUGUCUUGUUCAUUUUAUUUAGUUGUCGGCCUUGGAUGAUGAGGUCCAGUUACCAGGAGCACUAGUCCGCAGCUUACUGGUUCCGUCCUGCAGCUCCUCCACGCCGUCCUCCUCUCUACAGACCAAAUCAAGAAAAGGGAACCAGGAAGCUGCUGUGGAUCCUCUGCAGUAUCUGGAGAGGUCAGAGGAACGGUUCUUGGAACAGAUCGGAAGACACCAAGACGUGACCUCUGCCAUGCUCCAGAACAUCCAGAAGAUGAAUGAAAACCUUGGUUGCACUGAUGGGACGCAUGGUGUCGGUGCUGGAGCAACUGUCCCAGAAUUAAACUGCAUUGUUGACUAUUGGCUUUUCUAGAAAAUAAAUCUUUUUUAGUACUUCACCUGUUUUGUAUUUUACCCAUGCACUUUGGGUGAAUAAACAGAAAUUUGUGAUGAGAGAUGCAAA